UACGUAGGGUGCGAGCGUUGUCCGGAAUCACUGGGCGUAAAGGGCGCGUAGGCGGCUCAUGAAGGCUGUGGUGAAAGUCCGGGGCUCAACCUCGGAUCGGCCGUGGCGACUCGUGGGCUGGAGCACUGUAGAGGCCGGUGGAAUUCCGAGUGUAGAGGUGAAAUUCGUAGAUAUUCGGAAGAACACCAGUGGCGAAGGCGGCUCACUGGCCCGUUACCGACGCUCAGGCGCGACAGCGUGGGGAGCAAACAGG
rnacentral:rRNA from 1 species